CAUAUUUAUCCGAGAAAAAAGAAAAAAAAGUUCGGAAAAAAAAAAUGUACGAGAGAGCAAAUUCAGAGAAAGAUCUUGGAACAAACCCUAGAAACAAAUCAUUAAUGGCUGCAAAAUCAUGAUGAGUGCAGAAACAUAACAUAAUAUCUCCUUCACUGAAUCUCCAAUUCUCUUUUCUCUUCGACCUCUCACAGAAUUGUAACACUGAGGGUUCGAGAUCGAGAAUUUAAUGAUAAAAAAGAUCGUUGUCUGAUUCCGUUGGCAGAGUAGAUGGGGAAGAAAUUGAUGGUGGUCUAUUGAUAUCGAGAAGAAAGAAUUGAUGGAAAUUUGCUAAAUUAGGGUUUGGAUUGAGAUAUGAAGAUGAUUCUGAUAAUACUUGUGUUAACAGCGAGGAAUUGGAAUUGAGUUUUGUCUGAAUUAGAUUUUGAGAUGUUGGUGACGAGCUCUGUCCAGAAGAAUUGAUAUUAGGGUUUGGUGAUCUGAGCGAAUUCUGUUUAGAUUUCGGUAAUCUUUUUCGAUUAUGUUGUUGAAUUCAGAGAAGCAGAUUCAGAAUAAACAGCGAGGAAUUGAAGUGGUUUUGAUUAAAGUAGGUUUGGGUUUGUCUCGAAUUAACAGUUCAGAGAAGAUGAUAAUGGUAAAAUUGGAGUUAGGGUUUAUGGUGAAAUUGGAGUUAAGGUUUCUUGAUUUGUCCUGAUUGCUCUGUGAUUGAUUUCUCGGUUGAUGCACGAAUUUCUCGAAAUUGUGGCCCUCAGGUUGAUCAUGCAGGUGUGAAAAUACUAGAUACUUCGAUUGUUUAUUUUGUUCAAUGUAUUUUACUGUAUUCAUUAAAUUAUGUUUUUCGAAUUAGUGUAACUACAUUACACUAGACUAUAACGAUUAUUUAUGUGUUACUGGGAUUUUUGGGCAAGUUGAUCGAAUAAACUUCGGCAAAGAAGAAGAUGUAUAUAGAAAUAUUGUUUCCGGAAUUACAUUAGUUUCAAUUUUUGUUUAUGUUUCUUUGUUUGAUUAAGCUUUUUGAUUGAUUGUUGAGGAGGAAGGAAGUGAGAUACAAUAUAUAGACUGGAUUAUCUUUCCCAAGAAGCUUUUUUUUUUUAAUAAGCAGGUUUCACAAUCUCAGAAUACCACGAACUCAGCAAUCAGAUUGGCAAUAUUAAUCUUACAUGUAUCAGAAGCCAUUGUGAGCAGCAACACCAGUUUAAUCACUGUUACUACAGAAAGUGGUGAGUACCCUUCAGGAACAUACUAGGAAGAUCAAUGAAGCCUGAAGGAUUUUUAUGUACCCAAUCAGGUAGUUUUUAUUAAGUUCUUCCCAAUGUCAUAAUAUGCAUUCCCAAAUUGCAUUUUCCAGUCGUAUAAUUACUAGCGCUGAUGUAUAUUGGAAUAUGUUCUUUUCAUUUGUCCUUCGCUAGAGAGGUGUCAUGAGCGGGGAAAGGGGAAGAUACCACUUAAACAUGAUUUUUUCUAUUUGAUCUUUGUCGCCCUUAGACACAAGUGCGAUUAGACAUGUAAUAUAUAUUAACUUAAUUCAGUUUGCAUGCGCAUAAACCACUUUGUUAAUCGAUACAUCAUCUUCUACAGAGGUCCUGUACAUCACAAUGUCAGGCUUCUCUCUACGAAAGUUGGUCAAUGGAGCUCGAUAAAUGUCUCGAGCUUACAGUUUGUUAAGAAUCCUGUUUUUGGUUACUGGAUUAAGAAUCCUUUUUUUUUGGUUACUGGAAUUAGCAUCCUCUGACUUAUAUGUUCCUGCCAUUACAGAGCAAGCACAACAGACACCUGGCCCCUACUGAUAAUCCAGACUGAUCCGUGAAUGUUUGAUUGUGGAAGAACUUCCAUUCCUAGAAAAGACCUACAGAUUUGGGCACCACUAAUUUAUCUAGGUUUUCUUUUAGUAUCUAUAUCUAUCAUUCUCGAAUCCUUGGCAGGGAUGGUGGUACUCUGGGAACUUGCCUUACGGAAUGGGUAGAUAUGCUCAGUUCAGUUUAGCAGAUGGGGGAUUGAUGUGUGAUGCUGUCCAUUGUGGGGCUGUGAAGAAAGCAUACUUAAUUAAAAUUCCCUCUUUGGAUUCGACAUGAUGAUUCUUCCUUUCUAGACUGUCCUCUGAGGACUUCCAAUACUAGAUUCUUGAGCAUGCUAUAGAUGGAAAAUCCAAGAUAACAUUGAGGUACUCAUAUAAGUAGUUUUUAAAGUUGUUGAGGAGCUAGCUGUUCCUGAGAAUAAAUUCAUAUAAGGGCAAAAUCAGUUUCUUUAAUAAGUGAAUAGAGUUCAAAAGAUAACAGUGGUUUGGUUGUAUGGGUUGCGCUUGACAACCACCCUCUGUAUUGUGAAGCACACAAUUUAUUUUGUGUCCAUAUUGAUGCGCUAAAGGUACGUGCAUAUCGAUUCCUUUGUCUUGCUGCUUCGUUGCUUAAGCUUUCUUAUUUUAUAUUUCAUCUGAGCAUAAUAAUUCAUGUGAAUCACUAAAAUCUUUUGGAACCUCACCUGCGGAUAGAAACGGAUGCAUUGAAUUAGGUACAUGGUUUUGAACUUUCAACUAAUAUGAUUUUGAUACUGAUCACAUCCCACACUUUCCGCUUCCUCUAGGAAGUCUACGUAGGCUGUAAGAUUUUCUGCCCAUGUGGCAUACUGGUGAGUUGCAGUUUCAAUGUAGAAUCAGUUCCACUUUCUCCCAGAUGAUAACUGUAUUGCCGAAGUUUUUAGAACUAUAAUGUGAAAGAGGAAAUUUACCCAAAAGAUACAACUGAUUGCAAUAUUGAACCUCUUGACAUGCAUAAUUGUUAUAAUUUUAGUUUUGAGUUAAUCAACCUAGCCAGUGUUUCUUUAUCAGUAUAGUGAUUUGGUAUCAAUUUAAAAUGUAAUUGUCAUAUGUAAUGGAAAGGUAUUUAUGUAUCUAUUAUGACAUUGUUCCUUUUACUAAGCUUACAGAAGUGCUGACAAGGUUUGGUUAAAGUUCAAAAGGAUGUGGUGAUUACAGACACGGACCUAUUCCUUCACAUUCGAUUGCCAAGGCUUUUGCGUGUAUUUAACCCAAGGAGAUAGCGAUGUUGAUGCAUUUUUUAUAAUAAUAUAAUUGUAGGGGGAUAAAUUAUAUUAUCCCCCUACAAUCAUCUCCUCUUUUCUCUUUAACCUUCGACCCUAAUUUCAGAUGUUUAUCUGUUUCAAUCGAAUCAGCUUAAUGAAAAACAACAACCUGGGGCUGUGCUGUAAUUGGGGAUUUCGUCAAAGUCCAUAUUCAUAUCUCAUACACCGAGAAACAGUACUUGGGGAUUUUUGGAGCUGUGCUGUAAUUGGGGAUUUUUAAAUUUGAUUCAAAUCAGUCGAGUGUCAUUAAUCAGUAGAGUUUUUUAUAUAUCGAACUCUUUAAUCUUAUUUUCGUGAAUUUCCGGCGCAAUCAAAACCGGUAAUUCAAAUUUGGAUUUUUGGUUUAGGGUUUAGUAGUAUUCGAUUUGCGUUUGGUUUUUUCUGAUGGUUCAAUUAUAAGGUUUGCUGAUGGAAUAUAACAUCGUUUAAUGUCGACAGUUGUGUUCAUGGGAGACCCAGAUGGAUUUGGAGUUUAAGCUUCCCCAUGAUCUAGCAUGGUAAGAAUUCCUCAUAGACAUAUGAACUGCCGAUAAAAAAAAAGACAUACGAACUGCAGUUUUCUUUUUUCUAAUUUGAUUGUAUUAUCAACUUUCUGUUAAGCACGAAGCUGCCUGAAUUUUGUUUUAGCAGGCUUUAUAUAAUCAGUAGCUGUGUUUUUAUAUAUAAAGUUUUUUGAAUUUCUUGCUGAAAAAAUGUCCAAGAUUUUCUCCUCUCAACUUAAUUCAUUAAAGAUUUCCUAGCUUGUGAUUCGCAUAAGAAAAUCCUAAGCUCCUUAGGCUCCACGUUAAACGGUGACCGUCACCCUCUCAUAGAAUUGUUCCGUUUCAUUUUUCCUAAAAGGAGAGAAAAAAAAGGAAUUCACUCACAAAAAGAAAAAAAGAAAUCUAUUUAUUAACAUAUUUAUCCGAGAAAAAAGAAAAACAAAUCCGGAAAAAAAAAACAUGUACGAGAGAGAAAAUUCAGAGAAAGAUCUUGGAACAAACCCUAGAAACAAAUCAUUAAUUGCUGCAAAAUCAUGAUGAGUGCAGAAACGAAACAUAACAUAAUAUCUCCUUCACUGAAUCUCCAAUUCUCUUUUCUCUUCGACCUCUCACAGAAUUGUAACACUGAGGGUUCGAGAUCGAGAAUUUAAUGAUAAAAAAGAUCGUUGUCUGAUUCCGUUGGCAGAGUAGAUGGGGAAGAAAUUGAUGGUGGUCUGUUGAUAUCGAGAAGAAAGAAUUGAUGAAAAUUUGCUAAAUUAGGGUUUGGAUUGAGAUAUGAAGAUGAUUCUGAUAAUACUGGUGUUAACAGCGAGGAGUUGGAAUUGAGUUUUGUCUGAAUUAGGUUUUGAGAUGUUGGUGACGAGCUCUGUCCAGAAGAAUUGAUAUCAGGGUUUGGUGAUCUGAGCGAAUUCUGUUUAGAUUUCGGUAAUCUUUUUCGAUUAUGCUGUUGAAUUCAGAGAAGCAGAUUCAGAAUAAACAGCGAGGAAUUGAAGUGGUUUUGAUUGAAGUAGAUUUGGGUUUGUCUCGAAUUAACAGUUCAGAGAAGAUGAUAAUGGUAAAAUUGGAGUUAGGGUUUCUGGUGAAAUUGGAGUUAAGGUUUCUUGAUUUGUCCUGAUUGCUCUGUGAUUGAUUUCUCGGUUGAUGCACGAAUUUCUCGAAAUUGUGGCCCUCAGGUUGAUCAUGCAGAGAAGCUCGAAAAAGGAGUGUCGGAAUUGAGAACUGAAAAUCGUGGGCUUGAGGUCUAUGUUUAUGGUAUCAGAAGCCAUUGUGAGCAGCAACACCAGUUUAAUCACUGUUACUACAGAAAGUGAGCAAGCACAACAGACACCUGGCCCAUACUGAUAAUCCAGACUGAUCCGUGAACAUUUGAUUGUGGAAGACCUUCCAUUCCUAGAAAAGACCUACAGAUUUGGGCACCACUAAUUUAUCUAGGUUUUCUUUUAGAAUCUAUAUCUAUCAUUCUCAAAUCCUUGGCAGGGAUGGUGGUACUCUGGGAACUUUCCUUACGGAAUGGGUAGAUAUGCUCAGUUCAGUUUAGCAGAUGGGGGGUUGAUGUGUGAUGCUGUCCAUUGUGGGGCUGUGAAGAAAGCAUACUUAAUUAAAAUUCCCUCUUUGGAUUCGACAUGAUGAUUCUUCCUUUCUAGACUGUCCUCUGAGGACUUCUAAUACUAGAUUCUUGAGCAUGCUAUAGAUGGAAAAUCCAAGAUAACAUUGAGGUACUCAUAUAAGUAGUUUUUGAAGUUGUUGAGGAGCUAGCUGUUCCUGAGAAUAAAUUCAUAUAAGGGCAAAAUCAGUUUCUUUAAUAAGUGAAUAGAGUUCAAAAGAUAACAGUGGUUUGGUUGUAUGGAUUGCGCUUGACAACCACCCUCUGUAUUGUGAAGCACACAAUUUAUUUUGUGUCCAUAUUGAUGCGCUAAAGGUAUGUGCAUAUCGAUUCCUUUGUCUUGCUGCUUCGUUGCUUAAGCUUUCUUAUUUUAUAUUUCAUUUGAGCAUAAUAAUUCAUGUGAAUCACUAAAAUAUUUUGGAACCUCACCUGCGGAUAGAAACAGAUGCAUUGAAUUAGGUACAUGGUUUCGAACUUGCAACUAAUAUGAUUUUGAUACUGAUCACAUCCCACACUUUCCGCUUCCUCUAGGCAGUCUACGUAGGCUGUAAGAUUUUCUGCCCAUGUGGUAUACUGGUGAGUUGCAGUUUCAAUGUAGAAUCAGUUCCACUUUCUCCCAGAUGAUAACAUUGUAUUACCGAAGUUUUUAGAACUAUAAUGUGAAAGCGGAAAUUUUCCCAAAAGAUACAACUGAUUGCAAUAUUGAACCUCUUGACAUGCAUAAUUGUUAUAAUUUUAGUUUUGAGUUAAUCAACCUAGCCAGUGUUUCUUUAUCAGUAUAGUGAUUUGGUAUCAAUUUAAAAUGUAAUUGUCAUAUGUAAUGGAAAGGUAUUUAUGUAUCUAUUAUGGCAUUUUUCCUUUUACUAAGCUUACAGAAGUGCUGACAAGGUUUGGUUAAAGUUCAAAAGGAUGUGGUGAUUACAGACACGGACCUAUUCCUUCACAUUCGAUUGCCAAGGCUUUUGCGUGUAUUUAAGACAAGGAGAUAGCGAUGCUGAUGCAUUUUUUAUAAUGAUAUAAUUGUAGGGGGAUAAAUUAUAUUAUCCCCCUACAAUCAUCUCCUCUUUUCUCUUUAACCUUCGACCCUAAUUUCAGAUGUUUAUCUGUUUCAAUCGAAUCAGCUUAAUGAAAAACAACAAUCUGGGGCUGUGCUGUAAUUGGGGAUUUCGUCAAAGUCCAUAUUCAUAUCUCAUACACCGAGAAACAGUAAUUGGGGAUUUUUGGAGCUGUGCUGUAAUUGGGGAUUUUUAAAUUUGAUUCAAAUCAGUUGAAGUGUCAUUAAUCAGUAGAGUUUUUUAUAUAUCGAAAUAUUUAAUCUUCUUUUCGUGAAUUUCCGGCGCAAUCAAAACCGUUGUGUUCAUGGGAGACCCAGAUGGAUUUGGAGUUUAAGCUUCCCCAUGAUCUAGCAUGGGACAAUCAGAGGUUGAAUUGGAGCUGUGAUCGUUGAGCAGUUUUCAUGGAUUUGCAUCCAAUUAUAAUCACCACUGAAUGCAUGAAAGAAGUUAAGUGUUCAUGGACCGUCGAAGCUGCCAUGGACUGUUUCGAGGGCAAGAUUGAGACUAUUCUUAGUCGUCAGAACCAGCUAGCUUGCAAUGAGUUCAAUUUGAGAGUUGUUAGUCAGGUGGGUGUCCCUUGGAGCAUCAAUACGCAUCCCAAGUUUCUGAUUCUGUCCCUAGGUAUCAUAGAAAAAAAUUAAUUGCACAACAAAUGAGGUAUUCAGCUCAAGCUUCGGCGACAAGAGGCAUUAAACAAGCAUCACAAUUUAUUGUUGAAGAGACAUAUAUUCAGUAUAUACUGGCAUAUGACAUAGAGAUACCAAUAUGUGCGAAGACUAAAGUUAGCUGGAGUCCAUCAACUUAAGAAGAAAUAAUGGCGGCAUCUGCGGUAGGCUCUUUCUUAUGGAUGGGGGUGAAUGUACUGAAGCCUAAGGAACAUGAGACUUGAAAGCGGAUCCAUAGAAUAAGGUGCUUGCAGAUAGCUUACUAAAGUAAAAUUGUAGGCUGACGUUGGCAACAAUUCCAGUUGGAAAGACCCUUCUCCAGCAAUGGUUUUCAUCAUCACUUAGUACCACUAUUGCAACCAUAAAUUAGUUGUUUUUUUGUUGCUAAGAGAUUAAGAUUCAAUCUUCACUCCUGAUUGACCGUGUUGGUAGUCUACUUUAUAUUUUAGUUGAUCUUGAUGGACUGCAUUGUGAAAAUUUAUUACAUAUUUAUGUGACUUUGUAAAAUACGUUUACUCUUUUGUAUCCCCCUGUUCUCAAACAAGUUAUAUAUCGAUGCAGCUAAAAGGGUUCAAGUCGCUGACUCGAUUCUAACUCAAGUGGCGGGUAUAUAUAUUGAGAUCUAUGUACGGGGAUAAUUCUUUUUCUCUUUUUUGUUUUCCUUUUUGUGAUUUUAUUUUCUUUGCUGCUAAUGCAACGGUUGUGAGUAAUCAUAACCUAUUACUUA